rnacentral:ncRNA from 2 species
ACUAUAUGUAGCGUUCUAGGUUCUUCCGGUUACCAAAGCCGGGAGCUAAGACGGGAACUCGGUGCGCUCCCAAUGGGAGCAAUGCCGAGGCUGCCCCCGCAACUGUAAGCGGCGAGUAUCUGUUCGUUAUCGGCCACUGGACCCACCGGUUCGGGAAGGCGGAACAGAAGACGCUGACCCGCGAGCCAGGAGACCUGCCUCGAACAAGUUACGUCC